rnacentral:rRNA from 1 species
GGGGAAACCCACCUACCAUAAGGUAGGUACCCCGCUAUAUUUUAUAGCGGGGGGCAAACCGGGAGAAGUGAAACAUCUCAGUAACCCGAGGAAAAGACAUCAAUAGAGAUUCCCCUAGUAGCGGCGAGCGAACGGGGAGCAGCCCUUAAGCUGUUUAGAAUUUAGUGGAAUCCUUUGGGAAGAGGAGCGAUACAAGGUGAUAGCCCUGUACACGACGGAUUCUUUACAGUGAAAUCGAGUAGGUCGGGACACGUGUUAUCUUGACUGAAUAUGGGGGGACCAUCCUCCAAGGCUA